rnacentral:sRNA from 1 species
UUGACUAAAUUAUCUAGCCUUUCUGUUGCUUGUUUUCCUCAUCUGUAAAAUGGGUACAGUAAUAUCCACCCGAUGGUUGUUGCAAGGAUUAAAUGAGUUAAUACAUAUAAAAUGCCUAAGAAUACAUUUUAGAACAGUGCAUGGUAUUUAGUAAGCUCAAGAAAUGUUAGCUAUUAUUAAGUAGUUAUAGCUGCCCAAAGAUGCAGUGGGCUGCCCUGGGGUGGUGAGGACAGGGUGGGGUAGGCAUCCAGGGGCAAGUUCCCCUACACUAGAGAUGCUCACACUUAGGCAGCCUCCUAGGAAGGCUCAAGUGCUGGGUGGAUGGGUGGACAAGAUGCCCUUUCAGAGUUCUUCCAUCCUGAGAGUCAGUGAUGACGCGGUAGUCACCUCAGGGUCAAAGCAAUGCCCUGCCAAGAAAUGUAUUUGUUGUUUGCAGUUUGUUUUGGUAUUCACCCUAUCGACUUCAGAUUUUGAGCUCCUGCUCCAAAGACUGUCAUUCUUAUGCUGUGACCUUCCUUUGGUAGGAGCCUGUCACUCUGCUGGGCCAGAUUGGCUGUGAUAGCAACGGGAAGCUGAACAACAAGUCAGUGAUUCUCGAGGGAGACCGGGAACAUUCCUCGGGUGCUCAAAUUCCAGUGGAUUUAUCUGAGCUUAAGGAAUAUUCUCUGUUUCCUGGACAGGUUGUAAUUAUGGAAGGAAUCAACACCACUGGUAGGAAACUUGUUGCCACCAAACUCUACGAGGGUGUGCCACUUCCAUUUUAUCAGCCCACUGAAGAGGAUGCAGACUUUGAGCAAAGCAUGGUCCUGGUUGCCUGUGGACCAUACACCACGUCUGACAGCAUCACGUAUGACCCCCUGCUUGACCUGAUUGCUGUCAUCAACCAUGACCGGCCAGAUGUCUGCAUCCUGUUUGGCCCUUUCCUGGAUGCUAAGCAUGAACAGGUGGAGAAUUGUCUACUGACAAGUCCAUUUGAAGACAUUUUCAAGCAGUGUCUACGAACAAUUAUUGAAGGCACAAGAAGCUCCGGCUCCCACCUUGUCUUUGUCCCGUCAUUGAGAGAUGUGCACCAUGAGCCUGUGUACCCCCAGCCGCCUUUCAGCUACUCCGAUCUGUCUCGAGAGGACAAAAAGCAAGUACAGUUUGUGUCCGAGCCCUGCAGCCUCUCCAUAAACGGAGUGAUCUUCGGCUUGACGUCCACAGAUCUGCUUUUCCACCUGGGGGCCGAGGAGAUCAGUAGUUCUUCCGGAACUUCAGACAGAUUCAGCCGAAUACUCAAGCACAUCUUGACCCAGAGGAGCUACUACCCACUCUACCCGCCCCAGGAAGACAUGGCCAUUGACUAUGAGUCGUUCUAUGUUUACGCACAGCUGCCUGUCACCCCAGAUGUCCUCAUCAUCCCGUCAGAGCUGAGGUACUUUGUGAAGGAUGUCCUCGGCUGUGUCUGUGUGAACCCUGGGCGCCUUACCAAAGGGCAGGUGGGAGGCACCUUCGCCCGACUCUACCUUAGGAGGCCGGCAGCGGACGGGGCAGAGAGGCAGAGCCCAUGCGUUGCUGUGCAGGUCGUCAGGAUCUGAGGCUUCUGUCCUCUGCUGUUCUCUGCUGUGUGGGCCCUUAAAGUCUUAGCCAAGAGCCAAGACAUAGCCCUGUGACAAGGUGAACAGUUGGGUGGGAAAGGAGAGAGGAGCCAGCCAGGGAGGGGCAGCUGCAGUGACCAGGCCCAGCAGGGAGGACUUGUGCAGCCGGGCCUGCCUGUGAGUGGUGCCUCUCCUGGAAGGAAGCUCUUGCUUCUCAGUCCAUGCUCCAUGUCCAGAAGUAAGCCAGCUGUGGAUCCCGCCCACUCAGAAAAGGCGAGAAGGCUCUGUGAUUUUCUACAUGAAUCAAACACAGAAACAACUUUUGGAGAAAUUAAAUUCUGAGUGUG